GGACGAACGCUGGCGGCGUGCUUAACACAUGCAAGUCGAACGAUGAUGCUCCAGCUUGCUGGGGUGGAUUAGUGGCGAACGGGUGAGUAACACGUGAGUAACCUGCCCUUCACUUUGGGAUAAGCCUUGGAAACGGGGUCUAAUACCGGGUAUGCACAUACUGUCGCAUGGUGGUGUGUGGAAAGCUUUUGUGGUGGAGGAUGGACUCGCGGCCUAUCAGCUUGAUGGUGGGGUAGUGGCCUACCAUGGCUUUGACGGGUAGCCGGCCUGAGAGGGUGACCGGCCACACUGGGACUGAGACACGGCCCAGACUCCUACGGGAGGCAGCAGUGGGGAAUAUUGCACAAUGGGCGGAAGCCUGAUGCAGCGACGCCGCGUGGGGGAUGAAGGCUUUCGGGUCGUAAACUCCUUUCAGCAGGGACGAAGCUUUUGUGACGGUACCUGCAGAAGAAGCACCGGCUAACUACGUGCCAGCAGCCGCGGUAAUACGUAGGGUGCGAGCGUUGUCCGGAAUUAUUGGGCGUAAAGAGCUUGUAGGCGGUUUGUCGCGUCUGCCGUGAAAGCCCAGGGCUUAACCCUGGGUCUGCGGUGGGUACGGGCAGACUAGAGUGUGGUAGGGGAGACUGGAAUUCCUGGUGUAGCGGUGAAAUGCGCAGAUAUCAGGAGGAACACCGAUGGCGAAGGCAGGUCUCUGGGCCACUACUGACGCUGAGAAGCGAAAGCAUGGGGAGCAAACAGGAUUAGAUACCCUGGUAGUCCAUGCCGU
rnacentral:rRNA from 1 species